rnacentral:lncRNA from 1 species
ACGUGAAAUCUUAAUGAAGCAGCGCCAUCUACAUUCUAGAUUUAAGAUUCCAGGAUAGUCAAUUCAAUGACUUAAGGUGUGUAUGUAAUAAAAUGUUUUUAGAAAUUGUAA